UACGGAGGGGGCUAGCGUUGUUCGGAAUUACUGGGCGUAAAGCGCACGUAGGCGGCUUUGUAAGUUAGAGGUGAAAGCCCGGGGCUCAACUCCGGAAUUGCCUUUAAGACUGCAUCGCUAGAAUUGUGGAGAGGUAAGUGGAAUUCCGAGUGUAGAGGUGAAAUUCGUAGAUAUUCGGAAGAACACCAGUGGCGAAGGCGACUUACUGGACACAUAUUGACGCUG
rnacentral:rRNA from 1 species